GGGAAUCUGAAGGGGGAGGAUCCGCGUUGGGAAGCGAACUGCAGGGGGUGUCCUCUGUGAACAAGAGUAAAGUUAAAACUAGGACGUGUAAAAGGAAGAGGUCAAAUGGCAGCGCCUUCUCUCAGGCUCACUGGGUCCCCGGAGGCUGUUCUGCUGCCGAGCUCUGAAACGUCUUGUGCUGCUGCUGCUGUCGGAGGCUCUGUCACUCAUGACGUGAGCCGCUCACCGCCAGCCCAGCGCUGGAAGGAGGAAAAUCCCCAACGCAGGGGGUGAGCAGGGCGAGGAGGAGGGUUUACAGCAGCAGGAAGACCCACACUGCGUGUGUUUGCUUACUGCAGAUCUGAGGGAUGAGCUGUUCUUUUUUUUCCGCGAUGUCCUGCUGUUGCGAGAGAGCUCUUCAGUAUAAUUAAUAAUGUAACCUGCUCUGGCGUUCCUGCUCCAUUUGCUGAUGCUCAUUCCAGCUAGCUUAGCGGCCGUCCCUCCCACGGGCUCAAGGCAGACCUGAAAACCCACCAUAGAUUUAAUAUGGCACAAAACUAAGGAGUCUCGUUAGUUAAUUAUAUUCUUUGCCCUUGUCACAGAGGCAGAAUUUUCCCUCUUUGCUGAACUGCUAAUAAAGGCAACCUGACUCUUUUGGUAGCUGUACUGCACCCCUUAUCGCCAUAUCUGAGCAUCUCUCUGUCACCUUCAAUUUGUACUGAAGGUUUCUUUUGAAUGUAGUUUAGGUUUCUAGAGUCUCUGCAGAGAGUCUCUCUCCUACUUUAUAAAAAGCAAAUGGGAAGAAAUGGGGGAGUUGUUGUAAAUCUAGGCACUAAGGGGGGUGCGGCUGCCCCUUUCUGCUUGAAAAGAUUGUUCCCCCACCUGCAGUUUGUCAGCUAAAAGCCCAGGAGUCCAAGCGGGGCUGGGCUUAAGGUCCAAGACAUGGGAAGAAGCAGCAUACGUGUCAAAACUAAACUGAUAUUUGAAAUAUCCCUUCCUACUACCUGCAUGUUUCUCACUGUCUCCCACUGGCACGGAAGGAUAUCAGGUGCAGAAGGGCUACUAUAAAAUGUACAACAGCUGCCAGUGUUUCUGAAAACAUCAUGAGCUUCUGCACAUUUUACUGUGCUUCUACUCUUUCUUAAUUUACCAUGAGAUCCCCUUCCUUGCAGUGGCCAUGGUUUUCAUAUAAUGUAGCUUGCUUGGGGUUUGGGAUUUUUUUUUCUCUAUAUAUAGGGCAAGGAGUAAAAGUGCUGAGAUGGCAGACCAGAACGUCCUGGCCUCAUUCAGGGUUGGACUCAAACGAUGCUUUCUGCUGCCUUCCCGCUCAAAAUGGACAGUCUGAGAUCAGCUGAGCCCGAGAUCAGGCUCACUGCUCUGAGCUUUGCCUGCAGUGGUUUCCUGUGGCCGCUGCAGAAGGGAAUAGCUGGUCCCUAUCCAAGUACAACCCUUCUGGCAUUUCCCUCACCUUGAUAUCUCUGUUACAGUCGGGACGCGCCGGUGCACCCAGGCGGACUGUCAGCCCCGCAGAGCCUCACACUGCCGCAGAAACAGGAAAGCGCAGGUCAAAUGCAGGCUCCGGAUCUGCUGUUAGUGCUCAAAAGCUCCUUUGCUCUAAUCCCAGCUCUAGCAGUCCUUCCCUGCAUGGUCUUUUUGGGUCCAUUUAAUGCUUCUGCCCCAGUUUAUUCCAUCUCUAAACCAGAGACAAUAUUCACAAGAAGGUGUGAGACCUGAUUAGCAUUUGUAUUGUUAUCUAUACAUUCUGAUGAAAGGAACAUUUAAAUCCAUAAAAAAUGACAUUGAAUUGGGCUGUUUACAAAAACAGGAGGACAUUUUGUGCAAUUUAAUUUUUUUUUCAAGAAAAAGUUUGAGAUCUGAAUUAUACUAUUGUAUCUUUUAAAAUGAAGACCUAUGUGACAGUAGUAAUUACAUCUUUACAUCUGACACAGUGUCUGAAAAAACAAUUGGAUUUAUCUGAUUUAGUACUUAUUGCAUGUAUAGAAGGGAAAUAGCUACGUAUAAGCGCUAGCAUAUGGGUUUAGUGGGUAUUUCUUCUCUAGGUAUUUAUUGAGCAAGCUGGAGAUGCAGAUUAAAUGUCAUUUUCCCAUGCUGAGAGGACAGUACCCAACAGAGAAUCAGAAGGUUCCAUUGGGUGUGCUUAUUUGGUGUGUUAGAUAGGAAAACUUGGUUUAUAAUGCAUCUGUAGGAAUGGAAGUGGGUGUCUCAGUUCAUCUGUGAGCAAAAUGUUCCACGUUGUUUUCUAUCACGCAGCAUUUAUUCCCAUGCCAAAUAACAGCCACUAAUAUCUGGGAUGAUAUUCAAGGGGAUUGAACCAUUGAAUUUUCCUCUGAACCACACAAUCAUAUAUAACUUUGGGGUAUAUCCCUUGUUUUGGUCACAGUAUUUAUGUUGUUGUAGCCUUGCCCAGUUGAAAUUCAGAACAACUAUAUGUACUUGGGCUUGUUCAGUUUGUCUAACAAAACAGCUCUUUACUGCUGUAAUGUAUUGCUUGCCUACAAAACCAGACUGGCGAAAUCAUCUCGGUUUAGUCUGAACACAGCUGGAUUGCAAAUUGCAGAUUUCAAUGGUGGUGUAAAACACGUAUGUCUUUUUAGUUCAAGCUUUCCAGCCUUUAAUAACAAUACCCAAUCUGAAAACCUAUUUCUGAUUUUAAGAUGUUAAUUUAAGCAGUUCUUUGGUCUCCUCCUUUUACCAUCCAAACUGAAAAUGUUUCCUUAUAAUGAAUGGGCUGUGUAGUUCUCUUGGCCUCUCUUUGGCCAUUUUUUAUUUUUAAAUUACAAAAUACAAACUGAUUCUUUAGGAAAAGCUCUGUAUUUAUAGACCUUUUUAAAGGGACCGUAAAAUAUGUAUGUUCCGAGGACCUAAACACCUAACUUGUCCAAUAA